rnacentral:rRNA from 1 species
GAUGAACUCUGGCGGCGUGCUUAACACAUGCAAGUCGAACGAAGCAAUUUAGCGGAUGUUUUCGGAUGGAAACUAGAUUGACUGAGUGGCGGACGGGUGAGUAACGCGUGGGUAACCUGCCUCACACUGGGGGACAACAGUUAGAAAUGACUGCUAAUACCGCAUAAGCGCACAGGACCGCAUGGUCCGGUGUGAAAAACUCCGGUGGUGUGAGAUGGACCCGCGUUUGAUUAGCUAGUUGGUGGGGUAACGGCCUACCAAGGCGACGAUCAAUAGCCGACCUGAGAGGGUGACCGGCCACAUUGGGACUGAGACACGGCCCAAACUCCUACGGGAGGCAGCAGUGGGGAAUAUUGCACAAUGGGGGAAACCCUGAUGCAGCGACGCCGCGUGAGUGAAGAAGUGUUUCGGUAUGUAAAGCUCUAUCAGCAGGGAAGAAAAUGACGGUACCUGACUAAGAAGCCCCGGCUAACUACGUGCCAGCAGCCGCGGUAAUACGUAGGGGGCAAGCGUUAUCCGGAUUUACUGGGUGUAAAGGGAGCGUAGACGGUAAAGCAAGUCUGAAGCGAAAGCCCGGGGCUCAACCCCGGGACUGCUUUGGAAACUGUUUAACUAGAGUGCUGGAGAGGUAAGCGGAAUUCCUAGUGUAGCGGUGAAAUGCGUAGAUAUUAGGAGGAACACCAGUGGCGAAGGCGGCUUACUGGACAGUAACUGACGUUGAGGCUCGAAAGCGUGGGGAGCAAACAAGAUUAGAUACCCUGGUAGUCCACGCCGUAAACG